rnacentral:rRNA from 1 species
GUGGGGAAUAUUGGGCAAUGGGCGCAAGCCUGACCCAGCAACGCCGCGUGAAGGAAGAAGGCCCUCGGGUUGUAAACUUCUUUUAUCAGGGACGAACAUAAUGACGGUACCUGAUGAAUAAGCCACGGCUAACUACGUGCCAGCAGCCGCGGUAAUACGUAGGUGGCAAGCGUUAUCCGGAUUUACUGGGUGUAAAGGGCGUGUAGGCGGGAAGGCAAGUCAGGCGUGAAAACUCGGGGCUCAACCCCGAGCCUGCGUUUGAAACUGUUUUUCUUGAGUGAUGGAGAGGCAGGCGGAAUUCCGUGUGUAGCGGUGAAAUGCGUAGAUAUACGGAGGAACACCAGUGGCGAAGGCGGCCUGCUGGACAUUAACUGACGCUGAGGCGCGAAAGCGUGGGGAGCAAACAGGAUUAGAUACCCUAGUAGUCC